rnacentral:sRNA from 1 species
GGAUCGAUUGGGAUACUCAUCAAAUUAUAAAAAACAACCGGGAAUGCUUCGUUCUUCAAUGGCGGGCCACGCCCAUACGGGUAACCUUCGAGUCGGUGGAUUACAAAGAGGAGCGGGCGCUCAAAUCAUUUCAUCUCGGAGUUUCAUCACAUCUCCUCCCGGCUUUUU